rnacentral:tRNA from 1 species
UUUAUAGUGGCAGAUUAUAUGCAUAGGUUUUAAGCACCUAAGACAAGUUAUACUUCUAUAUUU